AUCACAUUUUUUAAUAUCCACUAUUCAAAACCGACAAUAUUUCAAACUGUGAGAACCAUACUUUAAUAAUAUGAGGAACACAUGACAGGAAGUGCCCAGAGUGCUUUGCAGUGUCUGCUGCAGCAGGGAGUGAAGGAACAGGGCAGCUCCAGGUCCCCUUAGUGCUGCUCAGACUCCAGCCUGUCCCAGGACUUCCUCAGUUGACCCUGUCCUUCUGUCCACAGGUUCCCCAACCUGGGAAACAGCUGCUACAUGAACGCUGCCCUGCAGUGUCUCUCUGGCCUACCGUCCUUCUCCAACUACAUCCUGAAGGAGGGACAGCUGGGACACGAUGCCCCAGACUCGGCUGCUUAGGUCGUUUGCUCACCUGCUUGCAGGGAGGAACCAGAGCAGCCUGAGUCAGAAGGAGGAGCAGCUGAGAUGCAUUAAAACAUUCAUCUCAGCUGCUUAUGAGGAGUUCAGUGGAAACAGGCAACAAGUGAGAGCUGCGAAACUAAGACAUUUAUCACUCUGUCACAUAUAUUAGACAUUGAAACACACCUGAAGAAUCCACAGAAUGUAUUUCACUACUAAAACCUCAAAAAAUAUCCACAGAAUUAAACUGAUCUAAAUGCUUCCUGAUUCUAGUUUCAGGCAAGGCUUUGAAGAAAACACAGUGCUCUACUGGGCAGUGCUGUUGUGCAGCUGGUGGCUCCAGUGUGAUCUGGAUUUAGCUCACUUCCAACAGAUAUUCUGGCCAGAUUAACCAGUCUGUGUAAUUUGCCUGUGGGGGCAAUUCGUCUCCCAAACCCCUUUUAUACUGUUAGGCUUCACCAACAUUGGAUCCUGUAGUGGAGGGCUGGCACACACAGUUGAUGAACACACGACAGGAAAGACCUCUGUCUGCUCAGGAUGCUCAUGAGUUCCUGAGCCACUGCCUGUCUCGGCUGAAGGAGGAGGGACAGGGGCUGAAUCUGUCCUGGCCCCGACGGCUGCUCAGGGCCCAGGGCGCCUAGCCAGACGGGGGUGAAAAUCGUCCAUUUUACACCUGUCCUGUGGUGGCAAAUUUUGAGUUUCAGCCACAGCAUAAACACACCUGCAUGGUGUCAGGUCAGUUUCUCAGGAAAAGAGCUACAAGUCAGUCUUAGUAAUUAGAGUUGAUUUUGGCCUUGAAAGGAAAUUGGAAGUGUUUAGAAUAAUGGCUGGUCACACGUCUGCCUCUCUGUUCUCUGAAUGCUGUGGAACUCAAGCCACCAGGACAGAGGAGGUCCAAUGUCUCUGGACCUCCUCCCACUGGGCUCCAUACAGGACUGCCUGGACCUCUACUUCAAAGUCAGUCUCGACGCUCGACGGGACGAACACAGGGCUUUCUAACAUGUGCCUCAUGAGGCAGGCAUCAUGGUUUAGGGGCAGGAGAACAUGGGUUUUGUAUUGGAGAGAGAUGAAAUAAGAUUGAUUCAGCACAAGUGAAGUUCACUGUAUCUUCAUAGAAUAUGUGCGUGGAAACUGAUAAAGCCUCAGGCUGUUAUGUUGCAUUUUUAUCUUACAUCCUGAUUUGUACCAAGAUUUAAAAUUGUUUUCUUCUUAAGACUAUUUCUUAAAUAUAAACUCAGUAACUGUUUAUAUGGCUUAAACACAAUACAAAGUAAGUUUU